UACGGAGGGUGCGAGCGUUGUCCGGAUUUAUUGGGCGUAAAGAGCUCGUAGGCGGCUAAGUAAGUCGGGUGUGAAAACUCCAGGCUCAACCUGGAGACGCCACCCGAUACUGCUUUGGCUAGAGUCCGGUAGGGGAGCAUGGAAUUCCUGGUGUAGCGGUGAAAUGCGCAGAUAUCAGGAGGAACACCAGUGGCGAAGGCGGUGCUCUGGGCCGGAACUGACGCUGAGGAGCGAAAGCUAGGGGAGCAAACGGG
rnacentral:rRNA from 1 species